rnacentral:rRNA from 1 species
GAUGAACGCUGGCGGCGGGCCUAACACAUGCAAGUCGAGCGGUCACACGAGAAGCUUGCCCCUCUUACGGUAGCGGGGGGGGGGGGAGUAACACGUGUAGGACAUACCUAUAAGGCGGGGGUAACUUACGGGAAACGGUGCUAAUACCCGAAAAUAGAUGCAAGCGCAAAGGGGGGGAGUUUAAGGCGGUUUUGCUGUCGCUGAUAGCUGGUUCCGCGUCGGAUUAGCUAGUAGGUGGGGUAACGGCGUACCUAGGCGACGAUCCCUAGCUGAUCUGAGAGGAUGACCAGCCACACUGGAACUGAGACACGGUCCAGACUCCUACGGGAGGCAGCAGUGGGGAAUAUUGCACAAUGGGCGAAAGCCUGAUGCAGCCAUGCCGCGUGUAUGAAGAAGGCCUUCGGGUUGUAAAGUACUUUCAGCGGGGAGGAAGGGAGUAAAGUUAAUACCUUUGCUCAUUGACGUUACCCGCAGAAGAAGCACCGGCUAACUCCGUG